rnacentral:lncRNA from 1 species
AGCGAAGAAGCACUAUGUUUGAAGACUAAUUAAAUUAAAUGACUUGGCUUGGUCAUGAUGCAAAUUCACCAGGAUAUUAUUCCUAACAUGCUGUAGGAAACUUUAUUAAUAAAUUUUCUGGAACAUGAGGUUAAAGUUAAAUAUAUCGGCUUGCAAAAAGACCACUCUCGCCUCCAAUAACAAUAACCUCACUCUUGUACACAACACUGACAUGAGAAAAAACUUCCUGGGGCAUGAGAAAAAACUUCCUUCAUCAUCAACCAAACUUAGCCUUUCAAGAUCACCACCUUAAUUCCCAUAAUCUCCCCCCUCCCCAAACAUUCGGGCUUUGUAGACAAAAGCUGAUGCCAAAUAUCGG